rnacentral:lncRNA from 1 species
AUUGGCUGGGCAUGGUCUCCCAGCACUUUGGGCAGCAGAGGAGGGCAGACCACCUGAGGUCAGGAGUUCGAAACCAGCCUGGUCAACAUGGCAAAACCCCGUCUAUACUAAAAAUACAAAAAUUAGCCAGGCGUGGUAGCAGGCACCUGUAAUCCCAUCUGCUGAGGUAGGAGAAUCGCUUGAACCUGGGAGGCAGAGGUUGCAGUGAGCCGAGAUUGUACCAAUGCACUCCAGCCUGGGAAACAGAGCAAAACUCUGUCUCAAAAAAACAAAAAAAAAAUUAUUGAGUUUAACACAAGAUUUUCCAAAGAGUAUUUGUGUCUCAUUUCAUUUUAUGUAAAUGUUCAAUAUUUUAACUUCUUUUUCACACACCUAAAGUUUUUGAAAGUUGUGAAACUUAAAUGUGUUUAGAUGUGGACUUUAGAGGUCAACUGAAACAUGCCUGGGGGAACACAGAUGUCACCGGGUUACAGGGGAAGGAACAACUGUGUAAAGACCCUGGGUAACAGACUAAACACCCGAAUUGAAUCUGGGGGACUCGAGCUCAAAGUGUUGUCAUGGUUACAACCAUGGCCACGUGGGUAAGUCCUCCCAGAAAGUCACCAAGUCCCAGGCACGGAACUUCAAUUCUGCAAGGUUGCUACGUUCAUGACACGCUCGCUCACUGGGCACAUGCACCAGGUACAUGCACUGGGUACCCGUGAGACAGAGGCUACUUGGGGGAUACAGGGUCAAUGUGGCUGAGUAGUGCCUUUGGGCUAAGCCCUGGCUGUCUACAAGCCCGCAGUACCAUUAGUGUACAACGGAGACUGCCUACUGGGGCCCGUUCCCUGCAGGCAAACAUACACAGGAAGCCAAAAGAAAACUGAAGGCUGGCUGGUGAACACUCAGCCGUGGGAUACAGUGACACAAGGAGCCAGUUAUGGAAAGCAGCAGCCAGAUGGAUGGUGAAUCCCCCACCUGGACAGUGAGAGGCUGGCACCCCCGGGUUCCUACUCCUGCUCUCCCGGAUAGAUUAAGUUACUAACCUCUCUGAUGGUGUGCAAUGCACAGACAGACAGGCAGCAGCCCGCACAGCCUGUAUCCCCCACUGACUCAAACCCUAACACAGAAUGCAUCCCCAGUAAAUAAACUGUAGGGGCUACCCAGGGAUAAGGCAGGGAUUUCUCUAGGACAUCACCCACCCAGCUUCCUUAAGCUAGAACACCAGCAGCCGGCGUAACUCGCUACUGAGAUGAAAGUCUUUCUAUCCGUAUUUGAGUGCCACAUCAACCUUUCUUCAGACUCAAUUUCCCAUGGUGUCUAAAUCCUGAGCAAAGACAAGCUGGCAGUUUGUCUCAUUCCACUGUUUUUAAGAGGCAAAAAAAAAAAAAAAAAAAA